rnacentral:rRNA from 1 species
AGUGAACGCUGGCGGUAGGCCUAACACAUGCAAGUCGAACGGCAGCACAGUAAGAGCUUGCUCUUACGGGUGGCGAGUGGCGGACGGGUGAGGAAUACAUCGGAAUCUACUUUUUCGUGAGGGAUAACGUAGGGAAACUUACGCUAAUACCGCAUACGACCUACGGGUGAAAGCAGGGGAUCUUCGGACCUUGCGCGAUUGAAUGAGCCGAUGUCGGAUUAGCUAGUUGGCGGGGUAAAGGCCCACCAAGGCGACGAUUCGUAGCUGGUCUGAGAGGAUGGUUAGCCACCGUGGAAGUUGAAACGCGUCCCGGCUACUAAGGGAGGGCACAGUGGGGAAUUGUGGGCAACAGGGGGCAGCCUUGCCCAACCAGACCGCGUGGGUUGAAGAAGCCUUCCGGGUGGAAAGGCCCUUUGUUGGGAAAGAAAAGCAGCAGGUUAAUACCCCGCUGUUCUGACGGUACCCAAAGAAUAAGCACCGGCUAACUUCGUG